rnacentral:sRNA from 1 species
GGUUGCUUGACGGAGGGAGUUGUAGGUGCAAAGCUGAGGAAAGAAGGAAGUGUGAGAGAGGGGCUUGAUGUGAUAAGGGCCGGUGUUUGGGACCGGAGGGUGUUGAGGGCUGAUGAGUUCCUUGGGUUUGCUCUUUUUUCACUUGAAGACUCCAGGAAGGGCAUCACAUGUCGGAGAAAGAUGAAUUCCAGCUUGACCGUCCAGAGGCGCGGCAGUGACGCCGAGUUGGGACCCUGGGUGAUGGCUGCGAGGUCCAAGGACGCGGCGCUGUCCCAACGCGACGGAGUUUUGCCCGUGAAAGUGGAGGAAGACUCACCCGGAAGUUGGGAGCCCAGCUAUCCCGCGGCUUGGCCUGACCCCGAAACUUCUCGACUGCACUUUAGGCAGCUGCGUUACCAGGAGGUGGCUGGACCGGAAGAGGCGCUGAGCCGGCUCCGAGAACUCUGUCGUCGGUGGCUGAGGCCCGAGCUGCUCUCCAAGGAGCAGAUCCUGGAGCUGCUGGUGCUGGAGCAGUUCCUCACCAUCCUGCCCGAGGAGCUCCAAGCCUGGGUGCGAGAGCACUGCCCAGAGAGCGGGGAGGAGGCGGUGGCCGUGGUGCGGGCUCUGCAGCGAGCGCUCGAUGGAACCUCACCCCAGGGGAUGGUGACUUUCGAGGACAUGGCUGUGUCUCUAACCUGGGAGGAGUGGGAGCGCCUGGACCCAGCACGGAGGGACUUCUGCAGAGAGAGUGUGCAGAAGGAUUCCGGGAGCACAGUUCCGCCGAGUGAGUGCUGUUGCUCUGCUGGUUUAUUGCGGUGUGUGGUUUGUGAAGGGCUGGUUCACUACCAUCCCUGAGCCAUUAUGCUAUUCCCAGACUUGGGCUGAGAGUCUUCAGGUGCCUUCUGUAACGCAAGCAGGAGCCUCUGUACUGCUAGGUGCUAGAUUCAGCUUUUUACUUUGGUUCAUUUUUAAUGUUUUGUACAUACAGAAAACUAUAAAAAAAAAAGAUAAUGAGCAUCCCCUGUGUUCACCACCCAAGUUUAUCAGAUCUUAAUACUUGGCCAUAUUGUCAAGGAAAUAGUAUGUUACAGCUGUAGGUGAGGCCCCCACAUAGCCUCCCUGAAACCUUUCCCCUCUAUCCUUCUCCAGAGGUAGCCAGUAAGCUGACUGUUGUGUUUAUGACUUCCAUGCAUGUCUUCUACUGUCUCUACAUAGACACGUAGCUCCACGCUGUAUAUCAUGACUGUAUGGCUUUUUUUUACUUAACAUUACAUUUUUGAGAUUUACUCAUGUUGAUGCAUGGAGCUCUACCUAUUUCACUGUCCAGAUACUCCAGAAUUCUAUCCAUUUCUGUUGAUGGACAUUUAGAUGUCUUAAGUUUUUAACCAUUAUAGCAUUGCACCGAACAUUGUUGUAUAUUCUUGCAUAUUUUUGUAUAUUUGUUCCUGUGUUGGAGUUUUUGAAGAGAAUAUGCCUAGAGACAGGCAGUAGUCCCCCCUUCCUGAUUUUGCUUUCUGUGGUUUCACUUACCCACAGUACGCAGUACAAUCAGAUAUAUUAAGACAGGGAGAGACCACAUUCACAUGACUUUUAUUACAGUAUAGCAUUUGUUUUUCGUUUUUUGUCUUUGAUUUUGGGGGUUUUUUU